rnacentral:rRNA from 1 species
AUUGAACGCUGGCGGAAUGCUUUACACAUGCAAGUCGAACGGCAGCACGGACUUCGGUCUGGUGGCGAGUGGCGAACGGGUGAGUAAUGUAUCGGAACGUGCCCAGUCGUGGGGGAUAACGUAGUGAAAAUUACGCUAAUACAGCAUACGAUCUAUGGAUGAAAGCGGGGGAUCGCAAGACCUCGCGCGAUUGGCGCGGCCGAUAUCAGAUUAGGUAGUUGGUGGGGGAAAGGCCUACCAAGCCAACGAUCUGUAACUGGUCUGAGAGGACGACCAGCCACACUGGGACUGAGACACGGUCCAGACUCCUACGGGAGGCAGCAGUGGGGAAUUUUGGACAAUGGGCGAAAGCCUGAUCCAGCCAUUCCGCGUGCAGGAUGAAGGCCCUCGGGUUGUAAACUGCUUUUGUACAGAACGAAAAGGUUUCUACUAAUACUAGGAGCUCAUGACGGUACUGUAAGAAUAAGCACCGGCUAACUACGUGCCAGCAGCCGCGGUAA